rnacentral:lncRNA from 1 species
GGGCAGGUCUUUCCUGUGCUGUUCUCAUGGUAGUAAGUAGACUCAUGAGAUCUGAUGUUUAUUAAAAGGGGGACUUUUCCUGCACAAGCUUUCUCUUUGCUUGCUGCCAUUCAUGUAAGACGUGACCUGCUGCUCCCUGCCUUCUGCCAUGAUUGUGAAGCUCCCCCAGCCAUGUGGAACUGUCCUGCUCCCUGCCUGCCCAUCUUCGACCUCAGCCCUCCUCCUCCAAAGCAGUCCCUCAGAACCCCUCCUGGUUUCAGUCUGGAUCCCACCACAUGUUGAAUGGCACCCUCUCAAUCUGGGACAGCGUCCGUUGAUUUUCUCCUGUGAUAAAUGAGUGCCUGGAGUAGGGAUGGCACAGAAGAACUAUUCAGCACAUGAAGCAGUGAAUGAAAAGACAAAAGGGCAAGAAAAGGAGAGAACAGUGGAGAAAAAAGAUUUUAAUUAAAUACAUGUGGG